rnacentral:rRNA from 1 species
GGACUACUCGGGUAUCUAAUCCUGUUUGCUCCCCACGCUUUCGCGCCUCAGCGUCAGUAUCGGUCCAGAGAGCCGCCUUCGCCACCGGUGUUCUUCCCAAUAUCUACGAAUUUCACCUCUACACUGGGAAUUCCACCCUCCUCUCCCGAACUCAAGCACAGGAGUAUCGAGCGCAUUUCCCGGGUUGAGCCCGGGGCUUUCACGCCCAACUUCCUCUGCCGCCUGCGCGCCCUUUACGCCCAGUAAUUCCGAACAACGCUAGCCCCCUUCGUAUUACCGCGGCUGCUGGCAC